rnacentral:lncRNA from 1 species
GCUAAUUGCCGAGGUCCUCUUCUAGGAUUGGUUGUCCACUCAUAACCAUAAGAUAAUUAAAACGGGGGGGGGCAGGGUAAAAAAAAAACCCUUUUAUCAGCCAUAGGUUAAUGCAAGUGUUUAACAGAUGCUUCGCUAUUAAAAUAUUUCCCCCCAAUACUGAAGAAUCUUAAACCAGGCUAGAGCGCCAGCGCUCCUCUGACCCGGCACACUUUGGCAAAGUUGCAGUGGCCUGUUUGCUUAGGCACUGAAGUGGAUGACCCAAGUUAGGAUGACAACUUGCAGAGAACGCGGAUGAGACCUUCAGUUUGUGCCCACACUCAUUUGCAGCAACCCUAACAGAGAUUGCGAAGAUUUUCAAAGUGGGGCACCUCGAUUUCUCGAAUCUGUGGUGUGGCGAAUAUCCGUGUUCCUCCUGCUUAACUAGCCUGUUUGGCAGGUCUGAUUCUAUUUAUUCUAAAGACAGAGUUGGAGAUGGGCUACCAUUGGUGUUGAUUGAGAUGACAAGCAGUCACCUGAGCCCAUACAGCUGUGGGAGAAAGUGCUUGCUGCCAAGCUUGAUGACCUAAAUUGAAUACCUGGAACCUACACGACAGAAAGAGAGAGCUGACUGCUGAAAGAUGUCCUCAGAUCUUCACAUGUGCACAGUGGCACCUAUCCAACCAUGCACAUAGUAUAUUAAAAAUUAUUUUUUAAAAAAUCCA